ensembl:snRNA U6 U6 spliceosomal RNA
GUGCUUGCUUCGGCAGCACAUAUACUAAAAUUGCAACAAUACAGAGAAGAUUAGCAUGGCCCCUGCACAAGGAUGACACACAAAUUCAUGAAGUGUUCCAUAUUUAA